GCGGAGGCGGCGGGCGAGGGGCGGUUCCCAUGCGGCACACGUGGCGGCGCGGUCCCCAGGCCCAGGUGAGACAGCACCAUGGGGCAGGCUGGCUGCAAGGGGCUCUACCAGUCGCUGUUCGACUAUAAGACCGAGAAGUAUGUCAUCGCCAAGAACAAGAAGGUGGGCCUGCUCUACCGGCUGCUGCAGGUCUCCAUCCUGACCUACCUGGUGGUUUGGGUGUUCCUGGUGAAGAAGGGUUACCAAGACACCGACACCUCCCUACAGAGCAGCAUCAUCACCAAAGUCAAGGGCGUGACCUUCACCAACACUUCGGAGCUCGGGGAGCGGCUCUGGGAUGUUGCUGACUACGUCAUCCCACCUCAGGGAGAGAACGUCUUCUUCGUCAUCACCAACCUGAUCGUGACCCCCAACCAGCGGCAAGAAACCUGUGCUGAGAGUGAAAGCAUUCCUAACGCCGUGUGCUAUGAGGACAGCGACUGCCCUCCUGGGGAGCCUGUUAUGACUGGAAAUGGAGUGAGGACUGGCCGCUGCUUGCGAGCAGGGAACACACAAAGGGGCACCUGCGAGAUCUUCGCCUGGUGCCCAGUGGAGACAAAGUCCAGGCCAGAGAAGCCACUCUUGGGCAAGGCUGAAGACUUUACCAUUUACAUAAAGAACUUCAUUCGUUUCCCCAAAUUCAACUUUUUCAAGACCAAUGUGCUGGACACCAAAGACAGAAAUUUCCUGAAGUCCUGUCAAUUUGGCCCUAAGAACCCCUACUGCCCCAUCUUCCGACUGGGGUCUUUGGUCAGCUGGACUGGGAGCAACUUCCAGGAGAUAGCCUUGCAGGGCGGUGUAAUAGGAAUUCAGAUUGAGUGGGACUGUGAUCUUGAUAAAGCUCCUUCUGAAUGCAACCCUCGCUAUUAUUUUAGCCGUCUGGACAGCAAAUUUCCAGGAAACUCUGUCUCUUCUGGGUACAACUUCAGGUUUGCCAAAUAUUACCGAAAUGAAGCUGGGGUGGAAUUCCGCACCCUGAUGAAAGCCUACGGGAUCCGCUUUGAUGUCAUGGUAAAUGGCAGGGCAGGGAAGUUCAGCAUCAUCCCCACAAUCAUCAACGUGGCCUCGGGGGUGGCGCUCAUGGGUGUUGGGUCUUUCUUCUGCGACCUGGUGCUCAUCUACUUCAUUAAAAAGAGCCAUUUUUACCGCAACAAGAAGUAUGAGGAGGCGAGGUCAGUCAUGCUUCCUCCCCAGCAGCCCGAGGGGAGCCCUGUGGAGACACCUCAGUCAGCCGCCCCCUCCCUGGCUUAGGAUCUUUGCCUUGGGUGGAUGGAGGUGCUCGGGGUGUGGCGGCAGGGCUGAACAUGGGAGCUCCCCUGGAAGGGCCGGGAAGGUGGAUUGUUCAGAGUGUGUGCCCUACAGAACCGGACUCUGUCUCAGAGCAGCCAGCAGAAGAAAAGGCCACCACAGGCUGCGGGCAGGAGACCUGGUUUCCAGGCUUGGACAAGUUCCAAGCCUCCUUGGACCUCAGUUUCUCUUUGUGAAAUGAGAAUUGGUUUACAUACAGUGCCUUCCAGCACUUAAAUUUUAGGAUUCUUGGUCCUGAUGGGCUGGGUUUGAAGGAAGCUGGAGUGGUAAGGGAAGAAAAAAAAUGAUAUUUAUUUAUUUAUUUUUACUAUAGGAGCCUAUUUCCAGGCUUUCUUGGGCUGUGGGCUUGGUGGGGGUGUGUGUGUGUAUUCAGAGCACAACAUGAAUGGGCAAUCCUGAUGUCUGUGGGCAGACAGAAAGGGGAAGGAGCUCUGGCCCAGCCCUUGGGAAGGCUUUCUGGAUGAGUUGGGAUGAGAAUGGGGAAUUGCAGGUGGUGGGCUCCAGAUAGGUAGGGUGUCGUUCCCUCAGCCCCACUAUACCUUGGGACAACAGGUGGAGGGUCGGCCCAUAUCAUUUGCCUGGCUUGACCCCCAGCUCUGGUUCAUAGGCUGAACUCUGAGCCCUGACUCUGGUUGAAGACUGGGUGAGCCCUGACUGCACUGGUGCCCCCUGAGCUGUUGGAGGAAUAGGGGUGCCCUCUGCAUGGCAAGUAGUUCUGCAGGGCCUGCCCUCACCAGUCCUGGGGGGAGGUCAGGCUGCACAGGCCAGGGUUAACGGCAAGUCCUGCCCAGGGACCUGGAGGUCCUCACCCUGUGAGCAGAGUCCUUGCAGCAUGAUGGGUCUUCGGAUGCUGAGGAUGCAGUGGAGGGGCCUGGGUUGCUGAGCACAGGAUGAAGGUGGCAACCAGGAGAAUGGCUGUGUGUUCUGGUAUCUCCUGGAGCAGGCUACUCUGGUCCCUGCUCUGUGGUGACCCGGUCACAAGGCAGGAUGUCCACGACCCAAGAGAGCUUCAUCCAAGCUGGAUUCUGAGAAGAGGGGUGCUGGUGGUGCUUUAGCCCCUCCAUGAUCCUCAUUAGCUCCCCAGUACCCCUAAGUAACCACCGGAUUGCUGUGCUAUCCUGGUGUUAAGACAAUAGUACUGUCACUUACUCAGACUUACUCUCUGCCCGGCACUGCUCUGAGCAAUUUGUAUAUAUGAACUUAUUUCGGCAACUUUAAUAAGGGAGACAUUAACAUUCCCUAUUCUACUAAUGAGGAAACUGAGGCACAGAAAGCUUAAGUAACUUACUUGUCACACAGCUAAUCAAUAGCAGAGUUGGGGCUUGAACACAGGCAGUGUGUCCCCAGAAUCCAGUUCUUCUCCAUCAGGUUAUUUGACUUAUCAAGCCCUGUCUCCGCCAUGCCUUCCCUAAGCACAUCUUGAUGUGGAAAUUCUGGAGCUGCUCUAGCUUCAGGAGGGUGGUGGCUGUAUUGACUGCUGGUUGGCGGGCUGCCCUACACUGGGCUGUCCUGGGCAACCUGGCUGGUUCUGCCGAUGUGACUGCAGCCUGGUGUGGAAGGGUGCCCUGGGCUGAGUCAGGAGGUAGCCUUCAGGCUCACCCUGCCUCUACCUCCCUAUGUGCCCUUGAGCAUAGGUCUGGCCGUUUUGGGGCCUGUUUUCCUUUUUUUUUUUUUUUUUUCAGUGGGGGCUGCACAUAGGCCCAGGUUGUUGUCAGACUAGGGUUCUGUGAUUCUCCAGGAGUUUACUGGCGUGGGGUGGACUUUUCUCUGGCCCCUACCUUUCAUUCAUUGCUGACUCAGGGACUAGCAGACUCCAACCGAGAGCUGGGCUUGGGUAGGAAAGGGGUGAGAAAUGGAGUGGGACAGAGAGGAAGGGCAAAGGAUGGAGAGGAGUGAGGGAAGAGUGUUGGAGAAGUUGGUGGGGCUGCAGCAGCUGGGGCUGGGGAUCUGAGGUAGGCCUAGCACCUAGCAGCCCCCCACGUGCUUCCUGAGCUAUCACUUGUUGGAUGCUUGCCUGAGCUCAUCAGUCUGUGAGAGGGAAGAAUGGCCGUCCUGCUGGUCUCAGCACAGCCUUACUUGUUGUGAGAGGCUUGAGCCGCCACCACAGUGGCUGCUGCUCAUUGCGGGGGCAGCUCCAAAGACGUGUCUUUGCUGCCCCUCCCUGUGAAUGCUCUGCCUGCCUGCGGUGCUGCCAGUGAGAGGAUGCUGCAGGUAGAGUCUGCCUUUAGGAGGCUGUCUUUGUCCAUAGAGUUCCCAACCAUCCUCUGAGCCCUAUGUGUGUCCUCCACCCACCCACACACAGGUCUGGCCACCAGGGAAAUGGAAAGGUGAAUGUGGAACAGCUUCAGAACCUGCAGACAGUGGAGGCAUAGCCAGAGGUAUUGGCUGAGCAGAUUUGUUGAAGACCUUGCGGGCAGAACUGCUGCAGCUCUCAAGUGGGAAGAAUCAUCUUUGUGUCUGCGUAGGACAGGGACUUCCAGGCACAGCCCUCUAUCCUGCAUUUUGGGAUCUUGCUACAAGCUUUUUGUUGUGUGUGUGUGUGUGGAGGAGCCUCCCAGUGGCCAGAGUGGCUCAGAUCUAGAAGAGGAGACUGGAGAGGGAAGGGGGAAGGUCAGGAGCCUGAGUGAUACUAGAGUGUUUUUAUUUUUUUCUGAGAACCUAGUUGGACAUUAAUCCAUUCAUACAUGCAGUAAACAUUUUUGCUGUGGGCUGGGCCUAUCCAAGAGCUGCUUAAAUGAGAUGCUGACCUGGCCCUGAGAGAGGGGAGUACAUAUAGAAUUCCCUCCAGAGCCAACAAACAUCACAGCCAGGCUCAGCCACUCUGGCCUUCCUCCAGCCUGAGACUUUCACAAAUCCCUGCAAAGCAUGACGGCUCCUCAAAGAGAUCUUGGAGAUCCAAAGAGACAUUUGGCAAAGAGGCAACCAGUAGAGAACUGGACCUGUCAGGAGGUGCUGGCCUUUGAGGGGAGAGGCAGCCUCCAAGGGCUUCUAGGUAAGGUGGGGAGGGGAGGCCUCUCUCCAGCCUGACUCGCUCAGUCUGUGGAGGCUCUGGGCAUAGUUUGUCAUCCAGAUGAUGGGGAUCAUAGCCUGUGGUUUGGCUCUUGCUGUUCUAUGGGGUUGGGUAUCCCUGCUGGGCUCUCCUGUCUCUCCUUCAAGGCUGGGUCUUAAGGGGGCUGAUGAGAUAGUGCUCACUGAGCAGGUGCAAACAGUUGUUGUUAGUGAGGCCCAAACUUUUAGGGAGUCCUUCACUCCCUCACUCCUGCCCCUCCUUCCCUACCCCACUCCACCCUGCAGAACUCCAUUGCUUCCCUCCCUUAGUGGCUGUAGAGCCUCCCUACUCAAAGUGUGGUCCGUGGAUCAGCAGCAUCUGCAUCACCUGGGAGCUUGUUAGAUGCGCAGUCUCGGCCCCUCCCUUGUCCUUCUAUAUCAGAGCCUUAGUUUCAACAAGAUUCCCAGGUGAUUGUUAAAGUCUGAGAAGCACUGGUUGAGAUCUGCAGAGCUGGUUCUAAAGGAGGAAAAGGCCAGCUUUGGUGGGUAGUGCCAUUUUCUAGGUCAGACUUACAGUUUACCUUGAGACUGAGAGGACGCCCCUCCCCCAUGUCCACCCUCACUCCAGGGAAAGGAGCAUUACACUCAAUUUAUUUAAAUUAAAAUAUUUGACUAGAUAAUACCUAUAAUUCAAAAUGUAAAAGGUACAAAAGAAUAGACAGUGAAAAGCUUCCCUCCCACCCCUGUUCCCCAAGGCAGCCUGUUACCAAUUACAAGAGGCUCCCUUGUUUUGCUGAGAAUCCAGCUGGUUACUGGCCUCUCUCAGGAAAUGAACUUUUCCUGAUACCUGCAAUGUUAGACCAAGCCUCUGUCAGAAGGGGCAUGAUGCAACAGGCUUAAAUAUUGCGUUGGGAGCUAGCUACCCCACUUCUCCAUCUCUCAGUGUCUGAGGAGUCCCUGUGUAAACCCUAGGGCUCUCUCUGGCCUCGAGUCAGAGGAGUCUGGUUCUUCUCUGCACACAGAGAAGGUAAGCAUCCUUCCCUUGGCGCCUUUGCGGAGGGUGAGAAGGGGCCUGAAAGGUCUCUGAUGAGGCUCUGCCACUGGAGCAGAGGGUCAUGGUGCCCAGAAUAAGAACCCUUCUGGGGCAAGCAGCUCCCUCACCUUGGGCUGUCUGGUAACCAGUCAACAAGUCCACGUGCUCUCUAAAAAAGUGAAAAUUCUGAUUGAUCCACUAUGGUGUUUCACUUUCUCACGAAAGCAAACACUUAGAUUGGAUAAUCAAACAUGUUACUUUUCUAUUUGGGAGGAAGUGAAAAGGGCAGGGGUCGUGGCUGCUCAGGAGUUGGUCUGGUUUAUUUUAACCUGUUUUUGGAGUUGCUUGGCAAUAGUCAUAAAACCUAGGAACAGUUGUACUAUUUCUUUUACACUGGAAUGAAAAUGUCUUUCUACACUAUUAAUUCAGUCAGUAAACAUUUAUUGAAUA